GCCUAGCCGUAACACGCAAUUAAACUACCAAUUGCCCGCCAAACAACUACGAGUUACACUUAAAACUUAAAAGACUUGACGGUACUUCACUACACCCUAGAGGAGCCUGUCCAAUAACCGACAACCCACGAUUAACCCAACCCUCCCUUGCCUACAGUCUAUAUACCGCCGUCGCAAGCCUACCUCAUAAGAGGAAUAAAGUAGGCCAAGCAGUGCUCACACUAAAACGACAGGUCGAGGUGUAACUCAUGAGAGGGACCAAGAUGGGCUACACUCUCACAUCGAGAAUACGGAAAAAACCCCGAAAUUAGUCUUUAAAGGUGGAUUUAGCAGUAAGAUAGGAAUAAAACACCUAACUGAACAUAACGCAAUGAAGUGCGUACACACCGCCCGUCAUCCCUGCUACCAU
rnacentral:rRNA from 1 species